rnacentral:rRNA from 1 species
CUCCUACGGGGGGCAGCAGUGGGGAAUAUUGCACAAUGGGGGAAACCCUGAUGCAGCGACGCCGCGUGAGUGAAGAAGUAAUUCGUUAUGUAAAGCUCUAUCAGCAGGGAAGAAACAGACGGUACCUGACUAAGAAGCCCCGGCUAACUACGUGCCAGCAGCCGCGGUAAUACGUAGGGGGCAAGCGUUAUCCGGAUUUACUGGGUGUAAAGGGGGCGCAGACGGCGAUGCAAGCCAGGAGUGAAAGCCCGGGGCCCAACCCCGGGACUGCUCUUGGAACUGCGUGGCUGGAGUGCAGGAGGGGG